CAGUCAGCAGCAAUCGCUUUGAUAUCUUUGUUUUGAGCUUUUCUCCGCGUGAUAAAUGAUAAUACAGUUCAAAUAACUAAUGCAAAAUGAAAGCAGCGGCUCAGAAGCAAAAGUUUUCAUUCGUUCCAUCAGCCCCAGCUGGGGUUCGUCUGCUUUCAGUAGAAAAAUGAAACAGUUGAGGGGAAAAAAGUGCCUGGAGAGGAGAGUGAAAGUAAUGGUUCGCAGUGAAUAAGAAGAUCAGAGCAAAACGGGGGGAAAGGUUCGGAGGCUCUGUAGCAUUUCAAACACAUUCAUCACUUUAUUACAGGCAAGCACGAAUGGGAAAGGCUCGAGAAAUAAAAACCUGCAGAGAAUCCAGAGGGGAGGAAAACAAAAUCUGAAUGACACGUCUGACGGUAGCACAGCAGAUGGGAUAUGACAGUUGUCCAUGUCUGGCAGAUGUGAGCUGGCGGCCUGAUGAAAGGAUCAUCCCAAAGGUGGCUAACCAUCAGAACAGCAGACCAAAAGGAAGCAGGUCUGAUUCCAGGAAAUUACAUGGUUGGAUUUCACCAGAAAAAUGGAUUUGGUAAGAGCUGUUUGCAGAUGACACUUAACAGUCAGAGGUUUGAUCUUCUCAUGUAAACACUCAGCUGUGAGAAAAAUGUUUCAGUCUUCCGUGGAGCACAAAUGAGCCGUUUUUUCCAAGUGUUUUAAUCUUAACAAAUAAUCAUAUAAUUACUCCUCUAGUGGAGAUCAAAUAUUUUCAACACAAAAAUAAUAAAUCGAUCAUGUUUUUUUUACAUUUGAUCAAAUAUUUCCAUUUACACAAUUUGUUUGUUUCCAUCAUUAACAUUUUCACAUUACAUGUAUUCAUUUUGGCAAAUGGUGCAAAAGUAAACACCACUUGCUCUCUGUGCUUUUAGCAAACUAUUUCAUGGAACACAAGGUGGAUUUUAAUGAAAAUAAUCAUUGGACGAACAUCUGUGACUGAUUAUUAUUGCUCUUGAUCUUAGCUUAAAGGUGAUGUUCACUGAGAAAUGUGUAAUACUUUCUCUUUUUGAAAUACAACCUAUACUGAGUUUUACGUGCAUGAAAACAGUCUUCAACUCAAUUUCCUGCAUUAGCUGCCAAAAGAUAAUAGACAGGGUAAUCAUCGGGUCAGAAAAAGCUAUACUAAUCUAUGUCACACUGUAGAAGAAGAAGUUUAUUUAUAUAUGUAUAGCCCUUUUCACAGAAACAAAUUACAAAAUGCUUCACAAAAAAAUAAAAUGGACUCACCCACCUUGGCUACAGAAGGGUGUGUUGAUUUAGCAUCCAAGGGGAAGCAAAGCCUAGAAAACGCUAACCGUUAGCAUUAGCAACUCCACAACAUGACAUAACUCCUUCAGGCUUGUGUUAUUUCUGGAGGCUAAAAAAUGCCUCAAUGUUUUUUUUUUUUUUACAUGCUUUUAUUUGUGUUCGCUAAUCAGAGGUAAGAUGUUUGUAUAUAAUUAAAAAUAAAAACUCCAAAUCCUGCCCCCAACUAAAUUCUACUUCCUGAAACAGGAGCACAGAAAACGGCUCACAAGAGACCACAGCAGAUAUAUUGAAAUAAUUAUUUUAUACCCUGUUUACAUUUCUGGCAUUAAAGCUGCAAUAGCAAAUUUGGAAAAUAUAGUAGCUUAAUGCAUUUUAUUCAUGCCUCUUAAUAAAGUUUUAACAUAGUAUAGCUAUAAAUUUAUUGUGGAGAUAAAAAAAUAUUAUAAAGUGGUUUUCUUACAUUUGUCUAAAACCUUUGCCAAUAACACAAUUUGAGCCAAAAGCAACUUUUGGAUGAUCCAACUGUCAGUCUCACCCAUGGACGUAAUUUUCACUUUAGAUGUGGGGGGGACACGGGGUGGGGGUGGG
ensembl:lncRNA